CCUACGGGUGGCAGCAGUGGGGAAUAUUGGACAAUGGGCGAAAGCCUGAUCCAGCAAUGCCGCGUGUGUGAAGAAGGCCUGCGGGUUGUAAAGCACUUUCAGUUGGGAAGAACCAGCGGCCGGUUAAUACCCGGUCGUCCUGACGUAACCAACAGAAGAAGCACCGGCUAACUCCGUGCCAGCAGCCGCGGUAAUACGAAGGGGGCUAGCGUUGUUCGGAAUUACUGGGCGUAAAGCGCACGUAGGCGGACAUUUAAGUCAGGGGUGAAAUCCCGGGGCUCAACCCCGGAACUGCCUUUGAUACUGGGUGUCUGGAGUCCGGAAGAGGUGAGUGGAAUUCCGAGUGUAGAGGUGAAAUUCGUAGAUAUUCGGAGGAACACCAGUGGCGAAGGCGGCUCACUGGUCCGGUACUGACGCUGAGGUGCGAAAGCGUGGGGAGC
rnacentral:rRNA from 1 species